AUGGUGCGCGGUGGCGCGGCGACCCGAGCCAGAGCCCCAUGCCUGCCGGUGCUCCAGGCGGAUCCCUAUGGCGCGCAGCGGCGCGAGGACCUGAGCCGGAGCCCCACGGCGGCGCGCCCGGCGACCACCCCGACCACCCAGGCUGCGGGCGCGGCGACCACGGGCGAAGCCCCAUGGUGCAACGGCGACCACGGGCAGAGCCCUUUGGAGGCCCCCCACAAGUCAGUUAACGGUCAACCAAACGUAUCAUCAGCUCGGCGAGCGGUCCCGGUGCCGGAGGCUUGUCGGACAUUGAGCAACGCUCGCCACACAGUCUCCACAGUUGGCUGCACCGUCACCGUCACCGCCACCACCAUAACCACCACCACUUUGGCCGAAGUGGACACGGUCGCGCACCGAGCUGCUCCCCGCGGUUUCAACCUCACGCUGUCGAAUAUCAAGAUGAAGGCCACCGUGACGGUGCACAUGAAAAAAGAGCGGGAAGAUCCGGUCUCCAGUUAUUGCAAAUACUCGGGUACAGGAGCCGAUGAGGAGUUCUACACGUACGAGGCCACCUUCACGGUGCCGGCAUCGUUCGCGCCCAUCGGCGCCGUGCGCGUGGUGAACGACCAAAACACCGAGAUGUUGCUAGCUAGGAGAGGUAAGCAUCUUCCCCGCCGACCAGGGCCCGGAGUCGUCCAGCGCUACGUUAUUCCACUGCAACUCGUCUCGUGGAUCCACCCCUCGCACAGCAGCCACGACAAGCGUACUUUCUUCCCUGUCACGCAGCUACCAUCGUGCCUGCGUGUGGUGCACUACUCUUACCUCCCGUCGCAGACGCCCGAGGGCAUGAAGAGGCUGCGCAGCAGUGAGCUACUGGCCAUCCGCGGCGACGGCACCGGCGAGCGCAAGCCACACCAGCGCAUCUACGACUAUGACGUCUACAACGACCUCGGCAACAAGCGACCUGUCCUCGGGGGUGAAAAGCGCCCCUACCCGCGACGCUGCCGCACGGGCCGCCGUCACUACAAGCAAGAUGCAGCUUCAGAUGCACCUUCGGAAAUGAGGGCCACCGACAAGAUUUAUGUGCCCCGGGAUGAGGCGUUCACGGAGAUAAAAGACGCGGCGUUCAUAAGAGAGUUGGUUUAUUUUGUCCGUGGCACACGCGGCCUGCACGCUCAAGUUCAAGGAUAUGAAAGACCACAGGAGCCACAGGAGCCCUCGCAAUCGCAACCGCACACACAAGCGGAGAUUGUCGGGGUCAUGAUAGGUUUUGUUGUGGAUGAGCUGGAGCACCUCCUCCAUGGAGCGCACCUUUGCGAGGAGAUCCGCAGGUUCUUGAAGUUCGAAACGCCGGAAAUUCAUGAUAAGGACAAGUUUGCUUGGUUCAGAGAUGAGGAGUUUGCGCGACAAACCCUUGCAGGGAUGAACCCACUGAGCAUCCAACUAGUCACGGAGUUGCGUAUCGUCAGCAAGCUGGACGGGCCAUCCCUUAUCACUAAAGAGCUGAUUGAAGAGCAGAUAAACGGUGUCAUGACAGCUGAGGAGGCCAUGAGUAAGAAGAAGCUGUUCAUGCUGGACUACCACGACAUGUUCCUGCCAUUCGUACACAAGCUCGCCAAGUCCCAUGUCCUGGCUCAUGACACCGGCUACCACCAGCUCGUUAGCCACUGGCUGAGGACGCACGGUUGUGUUGAACCGUACAUCAUCGCGGCUAACCGGCAGCUGAGCCGGAUGCACCCCGUCUACCAGCUGCUGCACCCGCACUUCCGGUACACCAUGGAGAUAAACGCUCAGGCGCGCCAGAUGCUCAUCGACGCGGGUGGGAUCAUCGAGAGCACCUUUUCGACGGGAAGAUACUGCAUGGAGCUCAGCUCCGUGGUUUACGACAAGUUCUGGCGGUUCGUCAUGGAGGCUCUGCCGGAAGAUCUCAUCCGGAGGGGCAUGGCGAUCAGAAGGGAGGAUGGCAAACUGGGGUUGGCCAUAGAGGACUACCCGUACGCCAACGAUGGCCUCAUGGUCUGGGAUGCCAUCAAGCAGUGGGCGUCCGACUACGUGAAGUGCUACUACUCAUGCGCGGAGGACAUCAUCGACGACCAGGAGCUCCAAGGUUGGUGGACGGAGGUGCGAACCAAAGGCCACGAGGAUAAGAAGGACGAGCCGUGGUGGCCGGUGCUGGACAGCCACGAGAGUCUCGUCCAAGUCUUGGCCGCCAUCAUGUGGGUCACGUCCGCGCACCACGCCGCCGUCAACUUUGGCCAGUACCCCAUGGCUGGGUACAUCCCCAACCGCCCAACCACAACCCGGAAGAACAUGCCGCCGGAGAUGGGCGGCCCCGACUCCAAGGAGAUGCGCGCGUUUCUGGAGGAGCCGGAGAGGGUGCUGCUGGACACCUUCCCAUCCCAGUACCAGAGUGUCGUGGUCAUGCUGGUACUGAACCUCCUGUCCUCACACUCGCCAGACGAGGAAUACAUGGGCACGUACCAAGAGCUUGUUUGGAGCAAGGAAGAGAAGAUCAAAGAGGCUUUUGACAGGCUCAAAUCCAAAAUGAUAGACAUCGCGGCGCAGAUCGACACCGGUAUUGAGGGUUUCCCCGUGUAA
rnacentral:rRNA from 1 species